GCGGAUAUGGUGGAAUUGGUAGACACGCCACUUUGAGGGGGUGGUGACCAUUAGGUCGUAUGAGUUCAAGUCUCAUUAUCCGCACCA
rnacentral:tRNA from 1 species